GCAUCAUCGAUCCUUGAUUAAGUUCUCAUCAAUUUACAUAUUUCUUGCCGUACACACCAAACUUCAAGAAAAACAACAGCAAAAGCCUAAAUCUCAUCAGAAAGUACUAAAAAAAUAAACAACUAUAUAAAGAGUGUGAACAGUCAUCUGACAGAGGCCCAAAAGAUGGAUGAUGGAUAUAAGCUACAGUUGUUAAGUUUGACAAGUGCACGCCACCGGCUUAGCCAAGUAAGUAGGGUUAUGAUCACCAGCCAUGACGACAACAAUCUUUGGCUCCAUCUCCAAGGACUGAAUCAUGACUUCUUUGUGAUGAGUAUUUUCUUCAGCCUCAUGAUCAGGAGGUGAAUUUGAUGGUGAUGUUUUGUAAGAACAAGCUAGAAUAAGCAAUGCCAUGGCGAUGAGUCCUAACGUCAGAGCUAGCCCAGCAAAAAGGUAAGGGACUGGAGAGUUCCAGUGCUGGAAUCCGCUGCCAUCAACACUAUUGCUGGAGUUGCUUGCAGCUGCAGGCCUCAUCGAUCUUUCUUUCUGAAAAUGUUUCUUUCUUGGUUAGUGAUGUUUUGUAUAUAUAUGUAUAGAAGUAAGCAGAGGCUUCCUUUGGAUAGGGUGAGGAAAGGUAAUGAAUAUAAG
rnacentral:misc_RNA from 1 species